UACAGAGGGUGCAAGCGUUGUUCGGAAUUAUUGGGCGUAAAGGGCGCGUAGGCGGUGCGGUAAGUCUGUAGUGAAAUCUCUGGGCUCAACUCAGAGUCUGCUGCAGAAACUGCCGUGCUUGAGUGUGGGAGAGGUGAGUGGAAUUCCACGUGUAGCAGUGAAAUGCGUAGAGAUGUGGAGGAACACCGGAUGGCGAAGGCGCCCCCUGGGUCAAGAUUGACGCUCAUGCACGAAAAGCGUGGGGAGCAAACAGG
rnacentral:rRNA from 1 species